rnacentral:misc_RNA from 1 species
GCGGCCAGUGCUGCUAAGAAGGCCCGCCGCAGAAAGAAGAAACAUUGACUUCCCCAACACUGCCUUAAUUGAUAGUCCAUUUCUGUAUACAUGGUUUAAUUGUUCACUUAUAACACAUCAAUGUCUCCUUUUAUGCAAACAGUAGAAAUGUUAUAUGCUUUUUGUGAAACAUAUCUAAUAUUUUUGUUUUUUAUGUUUUUUUUGUUCCAACUUCUCAUGUACAACUCAUUGCUCUAGAAAUGAAGCAUGUAGUGUACUCAAGAUACCCUACAGAUCUGUGAGGCUUAGGUAAUGUGUUAAGUGAUUUCAGGAAACUUUUUCUAAACUGUUUCAUAACACAAUAGUUUGUAUUAUUGAUUGUUCUCUACCUUCCAUAUAAAGAAAUAUCUUGCCAUUUGUUGAUUUUUAUAGGUCAGAAGUGGUGCUUAGGAUAGGAUAUAUCAAGUGCCAAAAUCUGAUGGAAGAAACUUUCAUUUUAAGUGCAAAGUGUAAUAAAGUAACAUUUCUGUUUAUGGUAUCGCAAGUUGAUUAAAGAUAGUUCCAAAUAGUCAUUUUGCCUCCAUCAACAUGUAGGUAAUCAUGUGAUAUUUGUGCAUGUAUACAAGUACAUGAUAGCUGAUAGAAUUCAAAUUUUUUGUCUUUUACUUGGCUAUUAAAGAACUUUUCUUUUAUAUUUUGAGAUUUUGAAGCAUUUUCAUAAUGCUGUGGACAACUAAAAGUCUAUAAGGGUUGUACCAAUUUUGAUUGUUCUUACAACACUGAUCUGUUAGAAAAUUUACUGAUGUGUAUACAAGACUGAUUUCUUUCUUUUUAUUGCUGUAUGAUAUUGUAACAAUGUUUUGUUUCAAUUAAAAGGAUUGACAAAGUUAACAACUUUAAUAAUUAAAAGUUAGACAAAUUG